rnacentral:rRNA from 1 species
GAUGAACGCUGGCGGCGUGCCUAAUACAUGCAAGUCGAGCGAAUGGAUUAAGAGCUUGCUCUUAUGAAGUUAGCGGCGGACGGGUGAGUAACACGUGGGUAACCUGCCCAUAAGACUGGGAUAACUCCGGGAAACCGGGGCUAAUACCGGAUAACAUUUUGAACCGCAUGGUUCGAAAUUGAAAGGCGGCUUCGGCUGUCACUUAUGGAUGGACCCGCGUCGCAUUAGCUAGUUGGUGAGGUAACGGCUCACCAAGGCAACGAUGCGUAGCCGACCUGCGAGGGUGAUCGGCCACACUGGGACUGAGACACGGCCCAGACUCCUACGGGAGGCAGCAGUAGGGAAUCUUCCGCAAUGGACGAAAGUCUGACGGCGCAACGCCGCGUGAGUGAUGAAGGCUUUCGGGUCGUAAAACUCUGUUGUUAGGGAAGAACAAGUGCUAGUUGAAUAAGCUGGCACCUUGACGGUACCUAACCAGAAAGCCACGGCUAACUACGUGCCAGCCGCCACCGUA